GGGAGUUACUUGCAUCUGGAGCUCAUUGGUGAUUGACUUUGCAGGGCAGAGGGCAGAAGACAGAAGCUGUCUUCCCCAGGUGCUGUUGGCCUCCGUAACGUGUGCCAACCAGGGGCCUCCAGACGCAGGCCAGGGCCCAGGACCAGUGUCAGCAGGGGAUCUGGGCUCCUUAUCUUCUCAGCUCUCUUCCUCCUGCGGUUCCCAUUCCUGCACGGACGGCCCCACCCCUCUAAAGGUGAGGUGCUGGUGGUGAGAAAGGAGCCGUGGCGGCUCUGUGGCACUGUGGCGCUGGACCCCAAGCACCGGAAGUGGAGCUGCUGCAGAGACUUCUACCCUUUCCACCGCCUCACGCAGAGGUGCUGCCAAACCCGGGGGAAGUUCAUGGUCAUCCCCAUGAACCCGGAAAAGUCAGAGGCUGAAGACUGCAGGACAUACACCUAGAAAACCCUAGGGGACCCCAUCCACCUGCCGUCCGGGGGGUUGUUGCCAUCUGAGUCACACUUGGGAAGGGAGACAGAAGCCCUGGAACCAACCCGACGCUUUGAGUGUGACUCACCAAGCCCAGGACCUUAGCUCCCAAACUGCAAGAUCACAUGAGGGGACACGGGUUCGAGCCCUGGUCCGGGAAGAUCCCACAUGCCACGGAGCAACUAAGCCCGUGCACCACAACUAGUGAGCCUGUGCUCUAGAGCCCGCGAGCCACAACUACUGAGCCCACGUGCCACAACCACUGAAGCCUGCACACCUAGAGCCCGUGCUCCGCAACAAGAGAAGCCACCGCAAUGAGAAGCCCGUGCACUGCAACGAAGAGUAGACCCCACUCGCCGCAACUAGAGAAAAGCCCGCGUGCAGCAACAGACACAACACAGCCAAAAAUAAAUAAUUAAAAAAAAUAAUAAUAAUGGUGGAUACAUGUCAUUAUACAUUUGUCCAAACCCGAGGAAUAUACAACACCAAGAGUGAACCUUAAUGUAAACUACUGACUUUAGUAAUAUAUCAAUAUUUGCUCCUCAAUUGUAACAAAUGUACACACUAACGCAAGAUGUUAGUAAUAGGGGCAACUAUGUGCGCCCAUAGGGGGAGGGGAUAUGUGGGAAUUCUCUGUAUUUUCUGCUCCAUUUUUCUAUAAGCCUAAAACUGCUCAAAAAGUAAAGUCUAUUAAUCUUCAAAAAUGCAUAUCAAGGAGCAAAGGCACAGGAAUAACUCAGAUAAGUUUGAAAAUAAGAACGAGACUGGCAGGUUGCCUUGAAGAGACCAAAAAAUAUUUUCAAGCUCUUGGCAUUCAAAAGACCUGGUGUUGGUGCAGGACGGACAAACGGUUGACAGAACAGGAUUGAGAAAAAGGUACUUGUGUCCGGGGAACAUAGUGAACACUGCUGUACAGUCUCAGGUGAGGAGGGAAAGGAUGGGCCACUCCAUGCACUUCGAGAUGUCAGCCAGCCAUACGUUUGCAAACAGAAGAACGCAGAUCCCAACCUUAUACUCAUUAGGAACCAAAACACAAUGCAACACAAGCUCAGUGAACGCCAAGCACAAAGAAAACGUCAGUACAAAUAUUAGAAGAAGGGAGAGUUGGAGAUAUAAAUUCUUGGGGUUGAGGAGCCCUUCUCAAAUAAAGACAGAAAAAACAAGUGUCUGAAAGAAAAAAGACUCAUAGAUUCAGUUACUUAAAAAUGAAAAAAACUUCAGGAGGACAAAACACACCAGAAACGAACAUUAAUUUCAGACAAUGAAAACAGGCAUUUUUCAAAAGCAGAACAAACGUCCAAUAAAUGGCCGAAAAGAUGCUCAGCCUAAAGGUAAAACAAGAAAAUGCAAAUUAAAAGAAUAAUGAAAUUCCACUGUGCACUUGUUUGGGUUGAAAAAUUUUUAAGUUUGAUAAUUGCAAGUGUUGACAGUUCCUCUGACACUUCGCAGAGCUUUUAGGGGGCAUUUUUAUAUUAACUAUAAAUGUUUGU